AUUUACACAUCGCUGCAGUGCAUUUACGUGAGGCGCCACUUCUACCCUCACACUUUCUGCGCAACCACAUGGAAUCCAGUUACACCAUUAUCGCGGAUGCGGCAAAAGAGCUUGACCAAAUUCUGGAUGCUGCUGCCGACCUAUACUUGCAGAGCAUUCAAGCACCCGGUGCGCCACCAAUCAGGGCGGCAUUCGGCUUCUCUCAGCAACCGCUAGAGUCGAACAGAGUCGCCUGUUUGGCUGAGAUUCCCUGCGUAGCAGCAAGCACGACAAAGUUUACCGACUUUCCUGUUCUCGUGGACAGACGCGUUGUUGCUGCCAUGAGAGCCUUUUUUGUGAGCUCCUUUGAAAGAGCAAAAGACCCGCUAUCAAGCGUUGCCGACGGUUUCAGUCGAUCACCGGACAGCCUCGACAACAGUCCGCAUGUGACACGCGCGAUGCUUAGCGACUUGCCGCCCACAGUCGUCGCUUUAGCAUGGGCGUGUAUCCCUCAACACGACAUUUUCGUAUCGCUUCGUCGACGCUGGCUGCGCGAAACGUGCUUCACCACAGAGAGCAAAGCAGAGAGCGGCCAAAAGUUGCAUCAUGCGAUGAAAGAGUUUGUUCUCUUGGAUCUUUUUUUGAGCCUUUGCCCAAAGCUGAAGUCGUUGUGGGAGUAUCGACAAUGGCUCUGCUCCAACAUGUGUGGCUGCGGACUUCUCAUCGACGGCCCUAAAGAAGGCGAGGGAACUGCCUUGCCUAUUCUUAAGUUUGAAGCACAAGACGACCAGCUGUUUUUUAUGGCCGCACACACACAUCCCAUGAACUACAACGCUUGGCAUUACCGCCGGCGUAGAUUUCGAUCCCUGCAUGCAAACCCGUCAAAGGUCUGCGCGAGAUGGGAUUGUGCACGUGUCGCCAUUCAAAUGGAUAGCGAGCAAGUCAUUGAGUUUAUCAGAGAGCACAAUGGUGAUAGCUCGGCUACGUCGUACCUGCUAUUUCUUCUUCAAGAACAAGACGCUCUCGACGGGAAGGGUGAUUCAUCUAUCUCCGAAGCAGGGUCAGUAAUGGAAGAUUCCCACCAAGCUGCCGGUGAACUACACAGGAGUGGGACUAAGGAACACUUCAACGUAGGCAAAGAGGGCGAGAACGGAACGCGCGUCGGCGAGGGCUGCCCAAGAACCGCACUCGCGCCGGCGUUGUGGAGAAACCUUAUGGUGUUUACCCAAACUGAAAUCCGACGACACAGCGAAAAGGGGCAUGACUGCAUGUGGCACCUUCGCCUAGGCUUGAUUCAAUGGGCAUGUACGCGAUCACGGCAGAACACGGUGCUUUCCCUAUGGAGCGCUGAAGAUGAGCUGAGAUGGGCCUCCACGUAUGUUGGACUCCACCUCGUAGACGGCAUUGAUGCGCUUCUAUCUCCGGUGUCGGCUCUCCCUUACUCGUGGUCAGAAUCCUCUGGUUCGUCUGCGUGGACUUCUUUCAACGCUUCUCGCUACGGAUGUCAGCUCGCUUCGCUUCUCAGCAAUACAUCUUCGUGUAAGUGACUUUGAAUUGCACAGAAUGAUUCCGUUCUCACUGCUGCCAUUUGUCGCUCUGUCGAAACAAAGUCUCCUAAGCAUUACUGCUGCUCCACCCUCUGAGCGCUGGACGAAAAAAAAAAGGUAUUAUUAGGUCUUUACGAAGCCUCCGUCGGCCUUGGCCUUCCUACUAUGCUGAAUGCUACGAAGCAUUUGUUUUGAGACUGUCCUCUCCCCACGCAUACACGCCAGCUAGCAGGCCAAUGCUCCGAUGCCUCUCUAUUAUCUUUCUCUCCUUUUUUUUUUGCUGUAUUGACGCUGCUAUUUAUCCUCAG
rnacentral:misc_RNA from 1 species